AGUGAACGCUGGCGGUAGGCCUAACACAUGCAAGUCGAACGGCAGCACAGGAGAGCUUGCUCUCUGGGUGGCGAGUGGCGGACGGGUGAGGAAUACAUCGAAAUCUAUUUUUUCGUGAGGGAUAACGUAGGGAAACUUACGCUAACACCGCAUACGACCUACGGGUGAAAGCAGGGGACCUUCGGGCCUUGCGCGGAUGAAUGAGCCGAUGUCGGAUUAGCUAGUUGGCGGGGUAAAGGCCCACCAAGGCGACGAUCCGUAGCUGGUCUGAGAGGAUGAUCAGCCACACUGGAACUGAGACACGGUCCAGACUCCUACGGGAGGCAGCAGUGGGGAAUAUUGGACAAUGGGCGCAAGCCUGAUCCAGCCAUACCGCGUGGGUGAAGAAGGCCUUCGGGUUGUAAAGCCCUUUUGUUGGGAAAGAAAAGCAGCAGGUUAAUACCCCGCUGUUCUGACGGUACCCAAAGAAUAAGCACCGGCUAACUUCGUGCCAGCAGCCGCCGUAAGAC
rnacentral:rRNA from 1 species